rnacentral:rRNA from 1 species
GAUGAACGCUGACAGAAUGCUUAACACAUGCAAGUCUUUGGCGAAGCUGUGCUUGUACAGCCUAGCCAAGGCGGACGGGUGAGUAACGCGUAACGAACUUGCCCUACAUUCAGGGAUAACAGACGGAAACGACUGCGAAGCCCUGGUAAAGUCAGGCGUACACAUGCCCAGCCUGAUGAAAAGAGAUGCUUCAGCUGUGACUUGCGUACUGUUCGCUUCUUCGUGGGCUAACAGCCCACCAAGGCGAUUAUCGGUAGCCGGCCUGAGAGAGUGGACGGCCAGACGGGGACGGGGAGACGGCCCAGACUCCCACGCGAGGCAGCAGUGGGGAAUAUGGGACAAUGGGGGCAACCCUGAUCCAGCCAUCGUGUGUGAACGAUGAAGGUUUUCGGAUGGAAAAGUGCUUACGGCAGGAAAGACGAAAUGACGGUACCUGAAGAAGAAGCGACGGCUAAAUACGUG